AGAGGUAAGAGUUCUGCAAACAUAAGGAGUCAAAAACAAAAAGAAAUUUCGGAGAGGAGUGCUUCGCACUAAGUAGUAGAAAUGAACCGCAUAGGCUCUGAUAGUAUUUUCCAUAGUUUGAGGCCAACUUUGGGAAUUUCUUGGUUCAAGUAAUUCUCCAUCCACUAUUGAUCUUUCUUCCGUGAAGAAGAACAAGGUAAUUUGAUAUUCUACUUACAUUAGAUAAUUUGUUUCAAAUUCUCUUCCUUAUUUCUCAAUGUAUAAUCUAUCCUUUAUUGGUUGGUUAGUUAAUUAUAGGUGGACAUAAGAAAAGGGAAUAAAAUGGCUUAUGGAAUUUCUAUUGACAAGGUACUUGUAGUAGAGUUUUUGUAUUCAUGAAUUUCCGAGAAAUUAUCAAAUUUUGCACCAAAGAAUAUUCCUUCUUUUUUUUCAAAUAAGAAAGUCAAACCUUCUGCCUUAGUGGUGGUAGUAUCAUCAAUAUAAGGACAAAAAUAGAAAUAGGUUAUCUCUCUUUUUAUUCUCGUACUCUACAUUAUGUAUUUCUUUUUAAAAAAUAAUAUGUGUAUGUGUGUGUGAGCGAUCAGACUCCAAUGAAUUGGCUUAUGAUAUUGAUAUCACGUAAUUAUAGAAUGAUUUAAGGAAUUUGUACAAAUUGCUCGAGAUGAAGCAUUUGGUAUUACGGCACGAGUACUGUGAGUAGUAAUCUUACC
rnacentral:lncRNA from 1 species